rnacentral:rRNA from 1 species
UACGAAGGGGGCUAGCGUUGCUCGGAAUCACUGGGCGUAAAGGGUGCGUAGGCGGGUUUUUAAGUCAGAGGUGAAAUCCUGGAGCUCAACUCCAGAACUGCCUUUGAUACUGAAAGUCUUGAGUAUGGGAGAGGUGAGUGGAACUGCGAGUGUAGAGGUGAAAUUCGUAGAUAUUCGCAAGAACACCAGUGGCGAAGGCGACUAACUGGACAAGUACUGACGCUGAGGUACGAAAGCGUGGGGAGCAAACAGG